ensembl:lncRNA
UUUGUCGUUAUGAGUGGCUCCCAGCAGUCCAGAGGGAGGCCCUGGAGCUCAAAAAUAACACCAGUGGACCAGGCACCCCCCCCACACACACAAACCGUGUGCUUCGCAACAAGCCGGACAGACAAGCCUGACAGACAGAGAGGCUAUGGGAGGGGUUGAAGAUGGACCUGGAAUGGAUGGACCUAGUGACACUGGCGAGGCCGAGUGCAGAAGCGACAUUCAAUCAUUUUGAGAUGGACCUGAGCAUUUUGGUCUGCAUGGAGAAUUCAACUGAAGCGAAUCGGGAGCAGCUCUACUCUGCGACUCAUAUCUCAGUCUACUUUGAAAGAGUCUACUUCUUCUGCAAAUGGAGAGUUCAACACAACAAAGACACGACUGUUGCUGUCAGUCAUCCAGCUGGAGACAGGACUCACUUCCAAAGCAAAGAAAGGAUUUUCUGCAGAACUCCCGAUGCAAACCCCAAAGACAGCUAACCCCUUCUUCAGGACCAAGAACAGGUUAACUCCAGGCAGUCACUGCCCUUUGUCACCUGGCUACUCACUGGCGAGUCACUCAUGAACCAGAGACUCCCAAAACCCUCCCACUAACCAAAUACACACACACACACGUGUCGCAUGCUCAGCCGUCCUGGUAGGGGAUCUCUCUUUGACUUGGCCUACCUAAAGGUUUCUCCUUUUUCCCCUAAUAAGGGUUUUAAAGAGUUUUUCCUUUAAUGCUUGGAGAGUCUAAGGCUGAUGAUGCAAGACACACAAAUGUGUGAUAGUCUGAUGGGACCCAAAGUUGAGCUUUGUUUUCAUGUUAGUUUUAUGCUUUGAUAUUUUCAUGUAAUAAAAUGUAAAUGAAGUGACUAAAAAAAUGUAUCAUGUCUGAUUAACCAAGAGGUACGUGGGCAUUACAAAUGGUUUGACUCAAAGGUUUACAUGGUGGAGCAUGUCGUAGCAACUCAAGUAAUCAACUGAGUGUGAGGGAGCUAUUUCUGUAGGUACAAGCUUAUUGCAACCUCACAUCUUGUGCGCAUUAUUCAACAUUUCCAAACUUUUCAGUCUUAAUAUUCAUUUGUUAAUUCAAUUUAGCUUCAGUUCUUCUAAAUUCAGAAUCAUUCAAUUGUUCAGUCCCAUUCAAUCGUAAUUAUUAUAAUUCCUAGAUUCAGUGUCUUCAUUCUACAGACUUCAUUCUACCUUCAAAAUGUUCAACAGAUUUCCUAGAUUCAGGGUAUUGAUUCAACAUUCAGCUUCAGCAGCAGAGUGGAGCAUUUUAGCGUCAGCAGACUUUAGCAGUAUUACUUCAGAACCCUUCAACUCAUUCAUAAUUCAUUCUACAGACUUCAAUCUACAUUCAAAAGGUUCAGCAGAUUUCCUGGAUUCAGUGUAUUGAUUCAACAUUCAGCUUCAGAUUUGUUAAUUCAAUUUAGCUUCAGUUCUUCUAAAUUCAGAAUCAUUCAAUUGUUCAGUCCCAUUCAUUCGUAAUUAUUAUAUUUCCUAGAUUCAGUGUCUUCAUUCUACAGACUCCAUUUUACCUUCAAAAUGUUCAUCAGAUUUCUUAGAUUCAGUGUCUUCAUUCUACAGACUUCAUUCUACCUUCAAAAUGUUCAUCAGAUUUCCUAGAUUCAGCGUCUUCAUUCUAAUGGCUUCAUUCUACCUUCAAAAUGUUCAGCAGAUUUCCUAGAUUCAGGGUAUUGAUUCUACAGGCUUCAUUCUACCUUCAAAAUGUUCAUCAGAUUUCCUAGAUUCAGCGUCUUCAUUCUACAGGCUUCAUUCUACCUUCAAAAUGUUCAGCAGAUUUCCUAGAUUCAGGGUAUUGAUUCAACAUGCAGCUUCAGCAGUAGAGCGGAGCAUUUCAGCGUCAGCAGACUUUAGCAGUAUGACUUCAAAACCAUUCAACUCAUUCAUAGUUCAUUCUACAGACUUCAUUCUACAUUCAAAAUGUUCAGCAAAUGUCCUAGAUUCAUUGUAACGAUUCUUCAACGUGCAGCUUCAGCAGUAGAGCGGAGCAUUUCAGCGUUAGCAUUCACACCGCAAUACCUUCAGGGAUUGCAAUUCUAGUUAUAUUUAUUACAUAAUUUUAACACAAAUUUAUCAGAAACAGUCAUUAUUAAUCAUAAAAAAACACAUUGAAGAGGCAUAAAUGGUAUUGUGUAAUUAUUGUCCCAAG